GUGAAAUUGUUGAAAGGGAAACGCUUGAAGUCAGUCACAUUGGUCAGAGAUCAAUCUUGCUAUAAUUUAGCUUGAUGUAUUUUCUGAUUUAAUGGGUCAGCAUCAAUUUUGACUGGUGGAAAAAGGUUGAAAGAAUGUGACAUCUUUUUGAUGUGUUAUAGCUUUCGAUUGCAUACAUUGGUUAAGAUUGAGGAAUUCAGCAUGCCACGAAGGCCGGAUUUCGAUCACGUUCAUGCUUAGGAUGCUGGCGUAAUGGCUUUAAUCGACCCGUCUUGAAACACGGACCAAGGAGUCUAACAUGCCUGCAAGUGUUUGAGUGGAAAACUCGAGCGCGCAAUGAAAGUGAAAGUUGGGAUCUCUGUCAUGGAGAGCACCGAUGCCCAGACCAGACCUUCUGUGACGGUUCUGCGGUAGAGCAUGUAUGUUGGGACCCGAAAGAUGGUGAACUAUGCCUGAAUAGGGUGAAGCCAGAGGAAACUCUGGUGGAGGCUCGUAGCGAUUCUGAUGUGCAAAUCGAUCGUCGAAUUUGGGUAUAGGGGCCAAAGACUAAUC
rnacentral:rRNA from 1 species